CGCGAAGAACCUUACCUGGUCUUGACAUAGUAAGAACUUUCCAGAGAUGGAUUGGUGCCUUCGGGAGCUUACAUACAGGUGCUGCAUGGCUGUCGUCAGCUCGUGUCGUGAGAUGUUGGGUUAAGUCCCGCAACGAGCGCAACCCUUUUCCUUAUUUGCCAGCGGGUUAAGCCGGGAACUUUAAGGAUACUGCCAGUGACAAACUGGAGGAAGGCGGGGACGACGUCAAGUCAUCAUGGCCCUUACGACCAGGGCUACACACGUGCUACAAUGGUCGGUACAAAGGGUUGCUACCUAGCGAUAGGAUGCUAAUCUCAAAAGGCCGAUCGUAGUCCGGAUUGGAGUCUGCAACUCGACUCCGUGAAGUCGGAAUCGCUAGUAAUCGUGGAUCAGAAUGCCACGGUGAAUACGUUCCCGGGUCUUGUACACACC
rnacentral:rRNA from 1 species